rnacentral:tRNA from 1 species
CCGCGCGGGCCGGAGAGGGACGGUUAUCCUUGCCAAGGAGGUGGUCGCGGGUUCGAAUCCCGCCGGGCCGG